UUUUAGAGUAACUAUGACUGAUUUCCUCUCCUUGCAGGUCUGCGGUUUCUUGUCCCCAGGACCCAGUAUUGAGAGAGAACAAGUUGCCACUGGACUUUGCGGAGACUGAGGGAAAAAUGUAUGAACAUAGCAUUUCCUUGCUUGGCGUGAAGAAUUGAAGACCAACUAAAUUAGACCAUCACCUCUGACCUCCAGCUAAGGUUAUUAAAAGCACAAAGAUGCUGAUUUAUGACAAGUGUGUUUGCCCACAUCCAACAACGGGCACUCAAAUGGUUGUGUGAAAAUUCUAGCCUAUUUUGUUCCUGUAGUGAGAAAUCUUUGAAACCCAAAAGGACUCUUCUGAACUUCAAAAACGUGUGAUGGCCAAUUGUUUCAGCUCCGGUAUACAGCAAACACAAUACUAAUAACUGCCUUUGGUGAGAACGGAAAGCUCAGGAAAUCCCAAGGAAGACAUACGAGAGAGUAAACAUGCACCUUGUGAAUUGUCCUCUUGAGAUCCUAAUCAAAAUGAAUGAGUUUCUGAAAAAAGACUGGAAUGGUGUAUUGUGAUCUUCAUGGUUUGCUAGUGUCAGAAACAACGAAUCUCUAUUCAACUCCUUUCUCAUUCCUGACAUGGCUCUCCUGGAUGCUGAGUUCACUGAGGAUAAGCAUUUGCAAGAGAGAAGCUUUAAGGAAGACAUG